AACGAACGCUGGCGGCAGGCUUAACACAUGCAAGUCGAGCGCCCCGCAAGGGGAGCGGCAGACGGGUGAGUAACGCGUGGGAACCUACCCUUUUCUACGGAAUAACGCAUGGAAACGUGUGCUAAUACCGUAUACGCCCUACGGGGGAAAGAUUUAUCGGAGAAGGAUGGGCCCGCGUUGGAUUAGCUAGUUGGUGGGGUAAAGGCCUACCAAGGCGACGAUCCAUAGCUGGUCUGAGAGGAUGAUCAGCCACAUUGGGACUGAGACACGGCCCAAACUCCUACGGGAGGCAGCAGUGGGGAAUAUUGGACAAUGGGCGCAAGCCUGAUCCAGCCAUGCCGCGUGAGUGAUGAAGGCCCUAGGGUUGUAAAGCUCUUUCACCGGAGAAGAUAAUGACGGUAUCCGGAGAAGAAGCCCCGGCUAACUUCGUGCCAGCCGCCGCGGUAA
rnacentral:rRNA from 1 species